AAAAAUCCACAAAGAAUCAUAGAAAAUUGAAUUAGAAAGUAAGGCCACACAGAAAGCACUAUUCUAUGCUGCUUCAAAAAUCUGUGGUGGGGGAGUCACUGGUGUCCAGGAGCACAUAGCAUUGAUGUAGGUUGCUACAUUAGCAAAAAACCAAACUAAAAAACGAUGGAUUCAGUGCAACUAGCCUGUGUUACCACCUGCCACACACAGUAGGGGGUGUUCUGCUGAGAAAGGUUAGGAUGCCAGCAUGGAAACAAAAACCUGUUGUAAUGUGUCAGGCAAGCUGCCUCUUAGCUCCACCACCAUGAAAACCCCCUCCAGGACAAAGUCCCCUGCAUCUUGGUGGUUACCAGAGAAGACUUGCUCUACACCACUACUCCACAGUCCAUUUAUUCCACAAAUGAUAAUUUGCUCAAUCCGAGACCAGCUGGGCCAAAAAAAAAUUAGGUUAAAGGCAAAUGAAAGUAAUAGAAGUUAAAAAUCUAAAUAACUCUGCUCAUGGGUACCUAAUGUCUUCAGAUCAUUUGCUUAGGCAGAACAGAACCUAAACUACUAUGCUCAUGAAAUGUCUGCUCUACUUUUUAGAGUCUCUGGAGGAUGAGCAUCAUUUGCAUUUGUCAAGGGUUAGAUAAUUGUUAUUUAAGUCAAUGUUCUGAGCACAGUUGGAAGGAAUUUUAGAAGCUUUAUCUGGUCCAGCCCCCUUUUUAAAUUUCUUUUUUUUUGCAAGGCAAUUGGGGUCAUCUCCCUGUGCCCAAGUGUCCACAUCUGUAAAAUGAAGGGGUUGAACCGGCUGACAUCUAAGGUUAUCUUCCUGCUCAAAAUCUAUGAUCCUAUAAUUGGGUCCCAAGUCCCAAGUGAUGAUGUGUGUCAGUCUUUUCUCCAGUCUCUAUGUGCUCACUGGAUAGCCCUGGAUUUGGUGACAUUAAGAUAUGGGUUCAAAUUCCAUGCCGAAAAGUUUUAGUGGUGUCCUAUUGAGCAAAUUCAGGUAGCUAGGUGGGGAAGUAGAGUGCCCUCCCUGGACUCCGGAGGACCCGAGUUCAAAUUCCACCUGCGACACUUACUACCUAUGGGACCCUGGGCAAGUCGCUUAACCUCUGUUUGCCUUUAUCUAUUGAAGAAGACGCCAAAUGGGGUCAUGAAGAAUUAGACUCGAAUAAUCGACUCAAUAACAACUGAGCAAGUCACGCGGGGGCCUAUGGGCUUUAGUUUCUGAAAAAUGAGGCGAGCAGGAAUAAAAGCUAAACGUUGUGAAAUCGUAAUGAGCAAGCCUGGCCCCAAAGAAGACAUCUAAGAAGACGCCUCCACUCGCUGCUGCAGGGAUGGCUUACCAUGCGAGAACACCCUGUUUUCCAGAGCUGAGGCCCAGCAAGCAAGCUGUGCCCUGAUCUUGGCGCAACAAUCCUCUGGACUCACCCUCUGGAUGAACUCUGCUGCAGCUAAAUCCUAGAACUGGCUCGAGCCAAUCCUAGGUAGUCCCUGAGCUCAGACAAGCGCCUGCACGAUCCAUGUUCUGGUCAUCAAGCCCUGCUAUGAGUAGACUUUUUCCACUAGGCAAACUUGUCUCUGUGUUGCUGUUACUCCCUCGUUGCAGUGGCUGCACCUCAGUGCUUGCCUCUAUGUCUAGCCAUGUCUACAUGUAACAAGGCUUAGUCCUACUACUUUGGGUCUGCUGAGUCCUAGAGCAGACUCCGGCACCUGUGUCUAGUUUCCCACCUCCAGCCGAAUAAAGAAGACCUUUUGCCUAUUACCUCCAUGAUUUUUCAGAGUUUAACUGUAUAACCUCUGUGGCUCUUUGGUCAUUUAUUUUCAGAGUUUGAGAAUGGUGUAUGUGAUUAAGUUGUAUAUUGGGUCCCCUUCAACCUUUCUCCUUCCCUUUCUUUCCCAUUACUGCCAAUAAAGCUUUGCAUUGAACUGAC